rnacentral:rRNA from 1 species
CCUACGGGUGGCAGCAGUAGGGAAUUUUCGUCAAUGGGCGCAAGCCUGAACGAGCAAUGCCGCGUGAACGAGGAAGGUCUUCUGAUCGGAAAGUUCUGUUUAUGGGGGAAAAGAGCGUAGAGAGGAAAUGAACUCCGAUUGAUCUUACGAUUCGAGGUAGUCACGGCUAACUACGUGCCAGCAGCCGCGGUAAUACGUAGGUGGCGUGCGUUAUCCGGAUUGAUUGGGCGGAAGGGGUGCGUAGGCGGCCUGCUAAGUCUGGAGUGAAAGGUACCGGCUCAACCGGUACAGGCUCUGGAAACUGGCGGGCUAGAGAGCAGGAGAGGGCGGUGGAACUCCAUGUGUAGCGGUAAAAUGCGUAGAUAUAUGGAAGAACACCAGUGGCGAAGGCGGCCGCGUG